rnacentral:rRNA from 1 species
AUGGGAACGCGAAGAACCUUACCUACUCUUGACAUCCAGAGAACUUUCCAGAGAUGGAUUGGUGCCUUCGGGAACUCUGAGACAGGUGCUGCAUGGCUGUCGUCAGCUCGUGUUGUGAAAUGUUGGGUUAAGUCCCGCAACGAGCGCAACCCGUUAUCCUUUGUUGCCAGCGGUUAGGCCGGGAACUCAAAGGAGACUGCCAGUGAUAAACUGGAGGAAGGUGGGGAUGACGUCAAGUCAUCAUGGCCCUUACGAGUAGGGCUACACACGUGCUACAAUGGCGCAUACAAAGNGAAGCGACCUCGCGAGAGCAAGCGGACCUCAUAAAGUGCGUCGUAGUCCGGACUGGAGUCUGCAACUCGACUCCAUGAAGUCGGAAUCGCUAGUAAUCGUAGAUCAGAAUGCUACGGUGAAUACGUUCCCGGGUCUUGUACACACCG